GUCCUAAUAGCUUAAUUGGUAAAGCUCUUUAUUGUCAAUGAAGAUAAUGACAGUUCGAAUCUGUUUUAGGUCG